rnacentral:rRNA from 1 species
GAUGAACGCUGGCGGCGUGCUUAACACAUGCAAGUCGAACGGAAAGGCUCCUGCUUGCAGGGGUACUCGAGUGGCGAACGGGUGAGUAACACGUGGGUGAUCUGCCCUGCACUUCGGGAUAAGCCUGGGAAACUGGGUCUAAUACCGGAUAGGACGAUGGUUUGGAUGCCAUUGUGGAAAGUUUUUCGGUGUGGGAUGAGCUCGCGGCCUAUCAGCUUGUUGGUGGGGUAAUGGCCUACCAAGGCGUCGACGGGUAGCCGGCCUGAGAGGGUGUACGGCCACAUUGGGACUGAGAUACGGCCCAGACUCCUACGGGAGGCAGCAGUGGGGAAUAUUGCACAAUGGGCGCAAGCCUGAGGCAGCGACGCCGCGUGGGGGAUGACGGCCUUCGGGUUGUAAACUCCUUUCGCUAGGGACGAAGCGUUUUGUGACGGUACCUGGAGAAGAAGCACCGGCUAACUACGUG